rnacentral:sRNA from 1 species
GAUCUUGGCUCACUGCACCGUCUGCCUCCUGCGUUCAAGUGAUUCUCGUGCCUCAGCCUCUCAAGUAGCUGGGAUUACAGGAGAGAGCCAGGAGCUGCCUGACAUACCUGGUGAGCCAACUGGCCAACAUGGAGCAUUCGUUUCACCAUAUUCUCCUGCUGGAGAUUAAAAGCAUCACCGACACCUUCUCCUCAAUCUUGGGCCCUCAGAGCAGAGACAUCUUCCGCAUGAGCAACAGCUUCACUGCCAUUGCUAAACUCCUUACCCGACAACUGGAAAAUACCAAGGCUGGAAGUGGCAGGAGAAAAAUCAGCACUGAAAUUGAAUUCCCUGAGAAACUGGAAGAAACCAAGCUCAUAGUAACUGAAAAUGAAGACCAUGAAAAACUCCAAGUUAAAAUCCAGGCUUUUGAAGACAAGAUAAAUGCAGAGAGCAAUACCCCUGGCUCUAUCAGAAGAUAUAGUCUGGGCCAAGUUUCUAAAGAAGAAAGAAAAAACAUUAGAUUUAACAGGUCAAAAAGUUUGGCUUUCCACACUAUGCUCACAAAGGGUGUGGGUUCAGAUGACGGCGAAGAUGAAAAC